rfam:Drosophila sechellia strain Rob3c scaffold_1 genomic scaffold, whole genome shotgun sequence.
AAAAAGGAUUUAUUUAAAUCCAAAGAAAUCAAUAAGGAAAGAAAUU